rnacentral:rRNA from 1 species
AGAAUCAACGCUGGCGGCGUGCCUAACACAUGCAAGUCGCACGAGAAAGGGUAGCAAUACCUGAGUAAAGUGGCGCACGGGUGAGUAACACGUGACUAACCUACCCUUGAGUGGGGAAUAACUUCGGGAAACCGAGGCUAAUACCGCAUAACACCUACGGGUCAAAGGAGCAAUUCGCUUAAGGAGGGGUCGCGGCAGAUUAGUUAGUUGGCGGGGUAAUGGCCCACCAAGACAGUGAUCUGUAUCCGGCCUGAGAGGGCGCACGGACACACUGGAACUGAAACACGGUCCAGACUCCUACGGGAGGCAGCAGUGGGAAUUUUGCGCAAUGGGGGAAACCCUGACGCAGCAACGCCGCGUGGAGGAUGAAGUCUCUUGGGACGUAAACUCCUUUCGAUCGGGACGAUAAUGACGGUACCGGAAGAAGAAGCCCCGGCUAACUUCGUGCCAGCAGCCGC